UUGAACGCUGGCGGCAUGCCUUACACAUGCAAGUCGAACGGCAGCACGGGUGCUUGCACCUGGUGGCGAGUGGCGAACGGGUGAGUAAUACAUCGGAACAUGUCCUGUAGUGGGGGAUAGCCCGGCGAAAGCCGGAUUAAUACCGCAUACGAUCUACGGAUGAAAGCGGGGGACCUUCGGGCCUCGCGCUAUAGGGUUGGCCGAUGGCUGAUUAGCUAGUUGGUGGGGUAAAGGCCUACCAAGGCGACGAUCAGUAGCUGGUCUGAGAGGACGACCAGCCACACUGGGACUGAGACACGGCCCAGACUCCUACGGGAGGCAGCAGUGGGGAAUUUUGGACAAUGGGCGAAAGCCUGAUCCAGCAAUGCCGCGUGUGUGAAGAAGGCCUUCGGGUUGUAAAGCACUUUUGUCCGGAAAGAAAUCCUUGGCUCUAAUACAGUCGGGGGAUGACGGUACCGGAAGAAUAAGCACCGGCUAACUACGUGCCAGCAGCCGCGGUAAUACGUAGGGUGCGAGCGUUAAUCGGAAUUACUGGGCGUAAAGCGUGCGCAGGCGGUUUGCUAAGACCGAUGUGAAAUCCCCGGGCUCAACCUGGGAACUGCAUUGGUGACUGGCAGGCUAGAGUAUGGCAGAGGGGGGGUAGAAUUCCACGUGUAGCAGUGAAAUGCGUAGAGAUGUGGAGGAAUACCGAUGGCGAAGGCAGCCCCCUGGGCCAAUACUGACGCUCAUGCACGAAAGCGUGGGGAGCAAACAGGAUUAGAUACCCUGGUAGUCCACGCCCUAAACGAUGUCAACUAGUUGUUGGGGAUUCAUUUCCUUAGUAACGUAGCUAACGCGUGAAGUUGACCGCCUGGGGAGUACGGUCGCAAGAUUAAAACUCAAAGGAAUUGACGGGGACCCGCACAAGCGGUGGAUGAUGUGGAUUAAUUCGAUGCAACGCGAAAAACCUUACCUACCCUUGACAUGGUCGGAAUCCCGCUGAGAGGUGGGAGUGCUCGAAAGAGAACCGGCGCACAGGUGCUGCAUGGCUGUCGUCAGCUCGUGUCGUGAGAUGUUGGGUUAAGUCCCGCAACGAGCGCAACCCUUGUCCUUAGUUGCUACGCAAGAGCACUCUAAGGAGACUGCCGGUGACAAACCGGAGGAAGGUGGGGAUGACGUCAAGUCCUCAUGGCCCUUAUGGGUAGGGCUUCACACGUCAUACAAUGGUCGGAACAGAGGGUUGCCAACCCGCGAGGGGGAGCUAAUCCCAGAAAACCGAUCGUAGUCCGGAUUGCACUCUGCAACUCGAGUGCAUGAAGCUGGAAUCGCUAGUAAUCGCGGAUCACGCAUGCCGCGGUGAAUACGUUCCCGGGUCUUGUACUCACCG
rnacentral:rRNA from 1 species